GUUUAACUUUCUUUUAUGCGGCUUAUUGUAUAACUACGAUGCUAUAGGAUGGAGGGAUUGGCUCACAUUUUAUAAUUUACCCGCAGCAAACUUUUUGAUGCCAAAUGUGUCAAGUGUUUGUGAAAAAAUAUGUACGUUAAAAUUACAUGAUGACCAUAUUUUUUAAUUGAUAUUUAACUCAUUGUGAUUGACAAAUUUUAACAUCAAAUAAAACGUGAUGGCGCAUACAAAAAUUUAACAACUUUCAUAACUUUUCGAUGUGCCUUUUACACUCUCCAUCAGUUCCGUGAAGUGUGUGGUUUUUUAUUUUUUAAUUUAUAUUUUUUCGGCAACUUGAUGUGAAGCUGCAGAUCUUUUUGCAUCUUCAGCAUUGUUCCCAAUUUUAAUCUAAACAUUAAAGUCUGUCCACGUACACACGAUGUAUUACAACAUUUAUGAUUUUUAUGGUCAUUCAUAAAAAUGUUUAUCCAAGCAGUUUUAUCUAAGCCCAUUUUUCAUAUAAUAACCGAGGAAGCUAUAGACGACGACAAAGCAUGAGCCACACCUGCAUAAAAGCUUGACAGUCAAAUCUAUGUAAAUAUCUUCCGUAAAAGUUGAAUACAAAAAGAUAUGUAUAUAAACAUGAGAUGCAUCUAAUCUCCAUAAGUUGUGAGCUUAUUCAAAAGCAUCAAAUUAUGUAACAUGGUUUUGUGCAUACAAAAUAAAAGUUUAAAAAAGGUUUUUCUUUUAUUUUCCGCCUUCA